AUUGAACGCUGGCGGCGGGCUUAACACAUGCAAGUCGAGCGGUAACAGAGAGAAGCUUGCUUCUCUGCUGACGAGCGGCGGACGGGUGAGUAAUGCCUAGGAAUCUGCCUAGUAGUGGGGGAUAACUUGCCGAAAGGUAAGCUAAUACCGCAUACGUCCUACGGGAGAAAGGAGGGGACCUUCGGGCCUUUCGCUAUUAGAUGAGCCUAGGUCGGAUUAGUUAGUUGGUGAGGUAAUGGCUCACCAAGACCGCGAUCCGUAACUGGUCUGAGAGGAUGAUCAGUCACACUGGAACUGAGACACGGUCCAGACUCAUACGGGAGGCAGCAGUGGGGAAUAUUGGACAAUGGGGGGAACCCUGAUCCAGCCAUGCCGCGUGUGUGAAGAAGGUCUUAGGAUUGUAAAGCACUUUAAGUUGGGAGGAAGAGCAGUUAACUAAUAUUUGACUGUUUUGACGUUACCGACAGAAUAAGCACCGGCUAACUUCGUGCCAGCAGCCGCAGUAA
rnacentral:rRNA from 1 species